rnacentral:tRNA from 1 species
GUUUCUGUAGUGUAGUGGUUAUCAUGUUUGCCUAAUAUGCAAAAGGCCCCUGGUUCAAAACCAGGCUGAAAACA